UAGGGAGUUUUCGACAAUGGGGGCAACCCUGAUCGAGCAACGCCGCGUGAGUGAUGACGGUCUUCGGAUUGUAAAGCUCUUUUAUUAGGGAAAAAUAAUUGGAGCAGGUAAUGGCUUCAAUUUGAUGGUACCUUUUGAAUAAGCAACGACUAACUACGUGCCAGCAGUCGCGGUAAUACGUAGGUUGCAAGCGUUAUCCGGAAUUAUUGGGCGUAAAGAGUGAGCAGGCGGCUUAUUAAGUUUGAAGUCAAAUCGAUGGGCUUAACCCAUUCUCGCUUCAAAAACUGAUAGGCUAGAGUAUGUGAGAGGUAAGUAGAACUCCAUGUGUAGCGGUGAAAUGCGUAGAUAUAUGGAAGAAUACCAGUGGCGAAGGCGGCUUACCAGCACAAUACUGACGCUCAGUCACGAAAGCAUAGGUAGCAAAUAGG
rnacentral:rRNA from 1 species